AGAUCACAAGGGAGCUGCCCACAGAGCAGGUAGAGCAGAGCCGGAGCCAGGUGCAGGCCAUUGGAGAGAAGGUCUCCUUGGCCCAGGCCAAGAUUGAGAAGAUCAAGGGCAGCAAGAAGGCCAUCAAGGUGUUCUCCAGUGCCAAGUACCCUGCUCCAGAGCGCCUGCAGGAAUAUGGCUCCAUCUUCACGGGCGCCCAGGACCCUGGCCUGCAGAGACGCCCCCGCCACAGGAUCCAGAGCAAGCACCGCCCCCUGGACGAGCGGGCCCUGCAGGAGAAGCUGAAGGACUUUCCUGUGUGCGUGAGCACCAAGCCGGAGCCCGAGGACGAUGCAGAAGAGGGACUUGGGGGUCUUCCCAGCAACAUCAGCUCUGUCAGCUCCUUGCUGCUCUUCAACACCACCUAGAACCUGUACAAGAAGUAUGUCUUCCUGGACCCCCUGGCUGGUGCUGUAACAAAGACCCAUGUGAUGCUGGGGGCAGAGACAGAGGAGAAGCUGUUUGAUGCCCCCUUGUCCAUCAGCAAGAGAGAGCAGCUGGAACAGCAGGUCCCUGAGAACUACUUCUAUGUGCCAGACCUGGGCCAGGUGCCUGAGAUUGAUGUUCCAUCCUACCUGCCUGACCUGCCCGGCAUUGCCAACGACCUCAUGUACAUUGCCGACCUGGGCCCCGGCAUUGCCCCCUCUGCCCCUGGCACCAUUCCAGAACUGCCCACCUUCCACACUGAGGUAGCCGAGCCUCUCAAGGUAGACCUACAAGAUGGGGUACUAACACCACCCCCACCGCCCCCACCACCACCCCCAGCUCCUGAGGUGCUGGCCAGUGCACCCCCACUCCCACCCUCAACCGCGGCCCCUGUAGGCCAAGGCGCCAGGCAGGACGACAGCAGCAGCAGCGCGUCUCCUUCAGUCCAGGGAGCUCCCAGGGAAGUGGUCGACCCCUCCGGUGGCCGGGCCACUCUGCUAGAGUCCAUCCGCCAAGCUGGGGGCAUCGGCAAGGCCAAGCUGCGCAGCAUGAAGGAGCGAAAGCUGGAGAAGAAGAAGCAGAAGGAGCAGGAGCAAGUGAGAGCCACGAGCCAAGGUGGGCACUUGAUGUCGGAUCUCUUCAACAAGCUGGUCAUGAGGCGCAAGGGCAUCUCUGGGAAAGGACCUGGGGCUGGUGAGGGGCCCGGAGGAGCCUUUGCCCGUGUGUCAGACUCCAUCCCUCCUCUGCCGCCACCGCAGCAGCCACAGGCAGAGGAGGACGAGGAUGACUGGGAAUCCUAGGGGGCUCCAUGACACCUUCCCCCCCAGACCCAGACUUGGGCCGUUGCUCUGACAUGGACACAGCCAGGACAAGCUGCUCAGACCUGCUUCCCUGGGAGGGGGUGACGGAACCAGCACUGUGUGGAGACCAGCUUCAAGGAGCGGAAGGCUGGCUUGAGGCCACACAGCUGGGGCGGGGACUUCUGUCUGCCUGUACUUCAUGGGGGGACGGCUCCACCCAGCCUGCGCCACUGUGUUCUUCUCUUAAGAGGCUUCCAGAGAAAACGGCACACCAAUCAAUAAAGAACUGAGCAGAAACCAA
ensembl:lncRNA WASH2P WASP family homolog 2, pseudogene